rnacentral:lncRNA from 1 species
CAGAAAGUAGAUCAAAAAGACAAAGAUAUAGAUAAUAGGAAAGAAAAGAUAAAAAACAAAACAAAACAAUAACCUCUUGCUUUGUUCAUUAUGAUGUUUUGGCAUUAAAUGGUAUUUUGUCACGUGUUGAAAUUGCCAGAUUAUCAAUAUUUUCAUAUUUGCCUGGAAUCCAGUCUGAUUUUUCAACUUUCUUUGCCUUUUCUCAGUUUUUUUCUUCUCUUAGUGUUUUCAUUUUUAAAAUAUUAACACUUUUACUUCUGUCCUCCAUAUUUCAAAGCAUUUUGAAAAUAUAUAUUUUUCUCCCUCUUCAUCAUUUCCUACUGCCUCAGAAUAAUUCCUCUACCUAAUCCUCCAUUACAUUAAUUUGUUCUUCAGCUGUUUCCAUCCUUUUAUUAAUUCUAUCUCUUGUAUUUUUUGCUUUAACUAUUAUACUUUUCAUACUCGAUAUUUCCACUUGGUUCUUGUCCAUGAUUUCUUACUUUUCCUUCAUAUG